rnacentral:sRNA from 1 species
GAUACUAGGGUCAAAAGGUCAUGCUUUUUCAUGCUUGCAUGAAAAACCAUGAUUUUGGAACCCGCAAAACAUGAGAAAGUAGCCCGAUUAGGGUGAAUUUCGAAUGUUUCUAGGAUUGCGAGAACACAUAGUGCGGAGCAAUCCGUAGGUAUC